rnacentral:lncRNA from 1 species
UCAUGGAUACUAUAAAAGCUUGUCUUCACCUGUAUUGCUUAUCAAAACAUACCUAUCAUAUACAAUUCAUUGUACUACAACAUUUCUUCCAAUACUUUGCACUUACUGUUUUUCCAACUUUGAAGCAGUGUGUACUUACUUAGGAGUCAGGAGUACCCUGAGUAGGUAAAUUACAUCCCUAUGGUCUGGAACACAGUAAAAGCAAAAAGGCUUUUGAUUCAGUGAUUUGUGCUUUCUUCCUUCUGCACCUUCCUGCAGACACUGUUGGCAGAGAAGCUGAAUUGGCACCCUGGGCUUGGGCAACUGCUGCUAAAAGACGGUGUCCUGGGAGCAGAACUUUCCUGUAACUGAGUGAUUCCUCCCGUUGGUUUCAGACCAGUGUAAUUGAUUCUUGUUCUUCUUUUCUUUGUUUUGUCAUUUAAUUCUUUAAUUAAACUCUCUUGUUAUUGGGAUUAAAAUCAUUGUAACCUGCCCCAGUUUUUCUUAUCUUGCUCUUUGAAGAUAUGAGAGUUCUGAACUUUCUAAUCUCAGGGCUGAAUGAAUACAAUUCAACCUCAUGUCUUAGAAUAGGGAUUCUCAUUCAAAGAGGCUGGCUUCUUGGGGGGGGUGUGUUACCACAACCUUGAGGUAGAAAGUAAGAGGGAAGAGGGGCUGCCAGUUGAUGAAAAAAGCAUAUUCAGUAUUCUAAUCUAAUUAAAUCAAAACAAAUGAAUUUGUUCUGCUAACCAAGACAUAGAGAGUUAACCCUAUAAAAUCUCCUUUAUGGGCAUACAAGUUAGCAACUCCCAACAAGAUGAGUAUCUCUCUCUCCAGGUCAGAGUUGCCGAAUAUCUGUAAAGUGAUGGGCUACCUUCAAGAGAAAUGUACAGGGUUGUUCUCAAAAGCAUCAUUUGUAAUAGCAAACUCGGAAAGAAUUGGAAAAAAACUAAAGAUCCAUCAAAGGCAGAGUAGCUGAAUAAGGUCAUAUCAUGGAGUGGGGUAUUAUUGGGUCAUUGAUGUGGAUGAACAGAUGUGCUGAUAUUGGCAGAUCUCCAACACACAUUUCAAGUUAAAACCACAACAGCAUGGGGACACAAUGAAUAGUAUGAUCCCUUUAGUAUAAAAAUGGUCCCAAACCCUAUAAAAGCUGUAAACAUCCCUCUCCCUGUCAUUUACCAGCCUCUCUCUCAUUCUGUUUCUCUCUCCUGUGCUAUGACUUUUUUCUUCUCCUGGAAAGACACAUAAGAAUUAUGUUAGAAGGGUUAGUUUUGGAAGAGAGACUAUGGGGACGGAAACGUAAAAAUUUCACUUUGUACUUUUUGUUUACAUUUUAAAAUCAUCUAACCAGCCGUCUCAUCAUUUAUUCUACAAAUACUUGUUGAAUGGCUACCAUGUUUCAGGCGGUGCCCCUACUCUCUAAAAGAAUGGCAUGACCCUGACUUGAAGAAAGCUAAGCCUAGUGAGGAAAUAGACGGUAAUAAGGAAAUGUAGAAAAGAUAAUUCAAGACAGUUCUCAGAGUUAAGAAGAAUCAAAAAGGUCUUUAGUUAAAGAGUAACAGCAGAAGACUACUUUAGAUAGCAUAGUACUCAGCGCUUAAAUGCUCCAUAAAGCAAAGAAAACAAAACAAAAUAAAAUACUCCCAAAUGGAAUGCCUCACAACAAGCUCAGCUUUGCAAGUCAUUUGUGACUCAGCUGAUCUAAGCUGGGAUUUUCUGGGAAGCGCUGGGUUUGCGAGCUGAAGGCUGAGCUUAAUACUGCUCUGUAUUAGUCUGGUCUAGGGCCCAGGCUGGAAGUUCCAGCAGCCACUUGGAGAGGCUCUUUUCCUGAUAAAUCACCAGAGUGCAAAAGGGCCAAGUGAAACUGCACAAGCCAUUGCAGGCCUUUGCUUUUAUCAUGUCUACUGAUAUCUCAUUGGCCAAAUCAAAUCCUAUGGCCAAGUCCAGUGACAAUGGAGUGGAAAGUUACCCUCCACUCAUGGGGAUGGUGCUUGGAAGUAAAUAUUAUGCUGCAAAAUAUUUGACACUAUUGAUCAAGGCCUAUCUGAUCACUGAGUAGAAACUGCACAACUGUGAGCCAGAUUUGCUAAGACCACGGUAAGGUCUAGGGGUGAGAGUGAGGGACUUGAGCCAUUUCAAGCAGAGAAAAUAAUAAAUUCAAAAUUAUUAUCUAAAUUGUCAGUUGGUUGGUAGGAUUGUAAGUCAUUUUUUAUUUAAACGUUUCUGUAAAAAUUAACCUUAGUAAAUGGUCUUUCACAAAGGAGUAGCAUGCCAGAUCUGUGCUGCGUCUGUGACCUACAGCACAGCUCACGGCAGCACUGGAUCCUUAACUCACUGAGCGAAUCCAGGAAUUGAACCUAUAUCCUCAUGGAUACCAAUUGGGUUAGUUACUGCUAGACACAAUGGAACUCCUAGACUUUCUGGUUUUUCAAAAUGAUAUUCAGUCCGAUGAUAAAGUUCUCUAAGAGUUAUCAGAAAUGUCAUUGGACUGCUUACAUUUUUAUCCAGGGUAGUACUUAGCUAAACCACGGAGCAGGUUUUAGGGGCAGUGGUAAUCAGAAAUAAAUUUGCUUUUAUGAUUAUACCCUUUGAAUCUUGUCCAGCCUAUCAGUUACACUAACAUUUAUUAAAUUAAAGAUAGCCAUCAAAGCAUUGUGUUAAGGGUUUUCUAGCUGUUACCUCAUUCCCAAGAACACAGUAAGGUAAUUACUGUUAUCCUCAUUUUCUGGAUGAACACAUCGAAGGCGAGGGAGGUCAAGUGAUUGCCCAAGGUCACAGAAUAAUAAAUGUCAAAGCUGGGAUUCAAGUUUAAUCCAGUCCAUCUGACUGUGAGUCUGUGCUCCUAGUGGGUCUGAUUUCUUUCCUGGUGAAAAGCCCUUGUAGUAUGUGUGGGGUGUGACUGCACUCUCCACAGCUCCGUAUCCAUCCCCCAGGCCAAGCAGGCCCAGAUUCUAAAGCUACAUUUGCAGGGCAUGAGUUCAAUCUUUCUCCAUCCCAGUCAUUCUCCUUACCUUCCCCCCAUUUAUCACGUGUGGCCCUUGUGUAUGUGUGGAUACUAAAAAUUACAUUCGAUCACAUGUGUGCAUGUGACUUAGCGGGGGUGUCCUUGCCUAACCAUCGCGGGGCCCUGGGAGUAGGGAAGGGCCUCUUGGAUGCACUUUCUGCAGGAUCCCAUCUCUUCCUGUGCUUUUCCCCAGACUGACCAUGGAGGAUCCUCCCUGUAGGCGCCUGUGCAAGGUGUAUCAAUUACCUCUUUAUGUGGACCUCCAGUUCCUUGAAUUUGAUGAGCUGCAGGGAGAAUUGGAUAGUGGCAGACGUUAAACAGCAAUGACAACAACAGCUCAGUUUCCCCAAAAAACUCUCUAGUAAUACUGGAAAUAGUUUUGUCCUUUGGUUUCCCAAACAUUCACUUAUUUAUACACUUGUCCAUGCACUCAUUCACACAAAGAAAGCUUUACCGAGAGUCCCUGCUGCAUUAGGUCCUGCGAUGCAAGAAAGGAGAAGAGGAGUCCCCUGUCCUUGGGGAGCUCAGCUUCUAGACUGGGAAGUGGGUAUGUAAAUCAGUUGUCAUGCUCUGGUAAAAAAGUACUAAAUUGAGGUGUGAACCAGAUGCCAUGAGAACACCCAGGAAUAGGUAACUCAAAGUGUGCAGGAUGUCAAACUGUGUUAGUCAUGGCGUUGGGCCUAAAUUAGAAAACCAAAAAAACCCCCAGAAGCCAAAAAAAAAAACCACACCCCCAAACUAUGAGAACCCUCCGUUUUGAAUUAUUCCUUUAUUUGACAGAAAUUUUUUUAUCUCCUGAAGGGCAAGGGGGGAUGAAUGCAGUGUCUUUGGUGCAGAAAGACCUGUUUGAUCUUGAAGCAAAUCACCCCAAGGAUUCCCCAUGAUUUUCAUAUUGUCCUUUUAUAAAGAGAGAUUUGGGUUACUGAGCCAGCGGGUCUGUCCCUGUGCCCGUCUGUCUCAGUCCCGCUGAUCCUUCUAGAGUGCUUUCUGGAAAGAGUGACCCGUUUGAUACCUUUGCCAUGUGCUGGCACAAGUAACCAAAUAGCUGCACAAAGAUAAGAGUUCAAGGGUAUUCGCUGAGGUGUUGCUUAUAACGACAAUAGGAAAUAUCCUAAAUAUCCAUCCACAGGGGAUUGAUUAAAUUCGUUCAGAACAUGCUGCAAUGUAAUGCCAAGCUGUUCUUUAAAAGAUGAAUAAGAUCUAUAUGUAUUAAUCAGGAAGAGUGUUAAUGAUACAUAAAGUAAAAAUUAAAAAGUGUAUUGAACUGUGUGUAAAUUAUUAUGGUUUUUUUCAUGUAAAUUAAUGUAUGCAUAAAAAUUCUGUUGGGAUGUAUUCCAAACUGAACAGAGGCUCUUGUGGAGGAAGGGGUAUGUGAAGUGCCUUGAAGGGAACUUCACUUUCUCUUUUAAGCACAUCUGUAUUUUUUGCAUUUUGAAUUAUUUUU